rnacentral:rRNA from 1 species
CCAUCCCGAACAGGACCGUGAAACGACUUUGCGCCGAUGAUAGUGCUGCAACCAGUGUGAAAGUAGGUUAUCGUCAGGC